GAAGAACCUGGAAUGCUGCGACCAUAGGCCUGGCACCCAGAGUUGGGUCCGGAUUAGAUAGCGAAGAUGAGUCCUUACUCCUCGAUCUUCAAGUUGAUCAUCUUGAUUGAACGAAAGUACCCCGAGGAUGAGUGGCUCCUAGGAACCCUUACAUCUAGCGCUCUUGAUUGACUGAAAACGACUUAUUUAAUUUAUGAGGCUGCUCCAGGGUCUUAGAACUAGGGUUUGGAGACCAAGGUCUAGGAUUUGAGGGCUACAGGGUCUCUAUAAUUUUAGGGUUAGGGUUUUUGAUAGGGUUUCUCCCUACUGGAAUGACUUGAAAAUUUAUGUAUAGAGGCAAAAUACACUCCAAAAUAGGAAGGCGGUGGUCCGAACCAUUACGAAGGUGCCACAUAAUCCGCACUGCAUUUUCAAUGCAUGCCUUCUACCCUUUGCACCACAUAUUGUAGCAUCCUGCUUAGGAAGGUCUGAACGACAUUUCUGCCCAGAUACAGGAGAUCUUGUACUGAUACACAAAUUCCUCCAUCGUGUGAUGUACUGGGUGCGGGAUUCAUCUUCCAUUUGUUAGGGGAUUCAUCUUCCCUUCGUUGUGUUGUGAUGAGCUCUAUAGCUGGGACAUCCGUCUGAGUGCUAUAGAAACACGAGUAAAACAACUCCUCCAUUUGUUCCCAUGAGUUGACCGAAUUCGGGGGCAGUCGGGGAAUAUCAGGAAUACCAAGAGAAGGCCGCACUUGUUAAUGACCGGAUGAAUUGAUGUAAUAGCAACCGUUUGUCCGAGGCUCUAGAAGUAAAGUCGGCUAUGAAUGAGAAACAUGUUCUUGUGGGGAACCAGUCCCCUGUAAAUUUUCGAAGGUCGGGAGUUGAUACCUUGGAGGGAACGACAUAUCAUCCAUACAAGACAAGUACAACUUCUGAUAAAUUUCCAGCAGUCUGGAUCCUUGGACUUGUAUGGAUUGGAUAUCAGUUGCAGUCACAGUGGGUGAGCUAGACGCAGGUGCAGUGACUUGCAUGGCUGCCUGUGCAACCAGGGUUGAAGCUCCCAUAAGGAGCACGGAUUAUCACAUAUGCAUAUGGUUAAAGCUAAUCAUGCUUAACAUAGAUGUCAAAAACUUGAAAAUAUAUGGUUAUUAUGAAAUAAAUAAGAUGUUGCUUGACUAAGUGGGAAGUGGUUGUGGCGAGGUCAUCAUCAAGUAUGCUGUUUCCUCAAAAGUAUUUUAAAAACCGCACAAGCUGCCAAAAAAUUGAACACGUGGCAAAAAUUGAACACAUGGCAGCUUUUUGUUGGGAGCUGGCCAGAUCUUUUUUUUCUGUGAAACUGGAUGGGUAUGGAGGAUACCCGAUCCGGAUCGCUCGAUCCCGGAUCGGGACACUGAUUUUUAAAACACAGGUUCUGACUUCUAUAUAUAAUAAAACUUACAAAUUAUAUGCAAAAUCUCAAAUAGCACAGUGGCAGAUUUUACCUUCUUAAGAGGUCCAAGGACCAAUUCCUAGUAGAUUCAUUUUUGGUUUCCAAGACAGGAUGACGGUUGAUACUUAAAAGAGUGUCUUUCAUUUAGCCGCACACUUAUAGAUGAAGUGCCAGCCCAUAUAGAUGAAGUGUCCGUCGAUGUUGGGUAGUUUCAACACAUGUCACCAAGCCAAAAAAAAAUGUCUAGGAACCUUGUCUAUUGGGAUCACAAAAUUUCACAUAUGACCUAACACUACAACAACGAUUGCAUAUUUAAUAUCUACAAGGAAGUUUUAUAUUCCUUCCAAGUAUUUAACUCAUCCCUCUAAAUUCAUGGCUACAAUAACCAUAAGCAUAUGAAGACACUUAAUAUAAAUCAUUGAGAUACCACUCAGGCUCUGUGAAAUUCAAAUUUGCAACUAGAUUUAAAGAUUUUCCUCGUAUUCUUGUUUUGCUUCCAACAGCAUUUUAACCAGGAGGUAUGAGCGUGCAGUUCCAUACACAUUAUUGUUUUUGAGGGGAAGAAUUUCCUUUCAUAACCAGUAGUCCGCUACCGAGACAAAGCCACUUUAUAUGUGGGAGUGCCAGUAGAAGAUAGGAACACAUGAAGCUUAGUAAAGGACCCAUAAAAGACACUGUGAUGACAAAUGGUGACAAAUUGACUUUUGACAGGUUCUGCCAACAAGGAUAACAUAUGGCAGAGGGCUGCUUUACACCAGCCACAGCCUAUGAGGUCAUUCCAUCCCUGCAUGAACAAUAUAGCUCUUUCGGAAGACCACAGACUGAAAGGAGAGAAGGAAGGAUGGCACUUAAGAGUUGUAACACAAACUCAAAAUAGGAUACAAAGACAGCAAUCUAUACAGUGAUGUAUAUACUCGAGACCCAUUCAAUAAUCAUCAUAACCAAGAAAAUGGCAAAGAUUCAUGUCAGAUUAAGUCAGAGAAGAAAGUAAGACAAGUGACCAAGCUAAUAAUCAGCUAGUCCAGUGAUUGUGUUGUAGUUUCACAUAUUGGAAGGAGUAUCCAAAAUUGUCG
rnacentral:lncRNA from 1 species